rnacentral:rRNA from 1 species
CAAGGCUUGACAUGCACCGGACGGCUCUAGAGAUAGGGUUUCCCUUUGUGGCUGGUGUGCAGGUGGUGCAUGGUUGUCGUCAGCUCGUGUCGUGAGAUGUUGGGUUAAGUCCCGCAACGAGCGCAACCCUUGUCUAGUGUUGCCAGCAAGUAGUGUUGGGGACUCUCUAGAGACUGCCGGGGUUAACUCGGAGGAAGGUGGGGAUGACGUCAAAUCAUCAUGCCCCUUAUGUCUUGGGCUUCACGCAUGCUACAAUGGGCGGUACAGUGGGUUGCAAUACCGUGAGGUGGAGCUAAUCCCCAAAGCCGUUCUCAGUUCGGAUCGUAGUCUGCAACUCGACUACGUGAAGGUGGAGUCGCUAGUAAUCGCAGAUCAGCAUUGCUGCGGUGAAUA